CCUCGUACCAGCCUUCCUUCGCUCCAUGCUCUUUGAUUCCAAAUCCGAGAGAAAGCGCCGCACAGACACAGAGAAUCAGAAUUGUUGUAUCUUUCAAAGCGUCCAGCACAAAAUAGAACAACCCUUUUGGAGGCUGCUUGUGGGUUUGUUUUGAGAUAAGUGCUGACGCCGAUAACUCCUCCAAACUGGUUCAGAGCGCCCAAGUCUUUAUCCUUCACCACUCGUACAAGUCCUACAUGAUCAAAUACAGUGUUGGGGAGAAAACUGCACCGAUCAGUUUCAGUAAUGAUUUCUUGGUGGGAAGUGCUUGGUUUCACAUCCAGUGCAGUGUAAGAAUAAGAGUGCAAGAUCUCGGAGUCCUUUUUGUAGUUGUUUUUCUUGUUUAGAAGCUCUUUGGGAAGCGAAAGCAUGGCCCGAACAGCAUAUAUUGUUGCGUAGGCCAUGCGCCAUCUCAUCUUGGCUCUGGUGAGGGUGGUAGUGGUGAUGUCGAAGAGCAAUUUGCCAUAACCAUAAGGCGAAUCGCGGCUGGUUAACAUGGUUUCUCAGCAGUUAGAACUUUGAAGAGUUCACACAGUUAAGAAAAUAAAGUCGGAAAGAGAGCCUAGUUGAAACAAAUUAAGAACUUCAUUAUCAUGUGUAUUUUGCUCUGUUUUAUAGCCAAAUUCAGUCGGUGAUUGAAAAAGAGGCAAUGUGUGAUACGACACGACAUGAGUGACCUGAACCGAACACAAUACAAGUAUAGGACUUGAUGUGUACACGAGCAACGUUAGCAUUGUAUUUGUAUUUCUCUUGUGAAAUGGAAAGCUGCUCCCUCCAAACUUUA